AUUGAACGCUGGCGGCAUGCCUUACACGUGCAAGUCGAACGGUAACAGGCCGCAAGGUGCUGACGAGUGGCGAACGGGUGAGUAAUGCAUCGGAACGUGCCCAGUCGUAGGGGAUAACGCAGCGAAAGCUGCGCUAAUACCGCAUACGAUCUAUGGAUGAAAGCGGGGGACCGUAAGGCCUCGCGCGAUUGGAGCGGCCGAUGUCAGAUUAGGUAGUUGGUGGGGUAAAGGCUCACCAAGCCAACGAUCUGUAGCUGGUCUGAGAGGACGACCAGCCACACUGGGGCUGAGACACGGCCCAGACUCCUACGGGAGGCAGCAGUGGGGAAUUUUGGACAAUGGGCGCAAGCCUGAUCCAGCAAUGCCGCGUGCAGGAAGAAGGCCUUCGGGUUGUAAACUGCUUUUGUACGGAACGAAACGGUCCUGGUUAAUACCUGGGGCUAAUGACGGUACCGUAAGAAUAAGCACCGGCUAACUACGUGCCAGCAGCCGCAGUAAAAC
rnacentral:rRNA from 1 species